AAACCAGCCCAGGGGCAGAGUGGGAGGACAGAAGGGACACCAUGGCACGUCCCAUGUGGUAGAGCUGCCCAACAAACCAUAUCAUUAAAGUAAUAACUGGGAAAACUGUCUCUCCAGGAGAGAGAUCAUUCCUGACCAGAAUAUCCUGUAAGAGAAUAUGAUAAAGACUUGAGACAGAAAAAGAUCUUUAAAGGCUUUUAACUCUUUGAAGUUCUGCUAGGGAAGUUGUAGCAUCACUGGGUUUUUGGGGCUGUUUCUCCUGACUUUUGGCUCUUGCUUUGGCCUGUGCAUUUCUGCAUGAAAUUAAACCAGAGAAUGUAAUUCCCAGACUGAUUCUCAUUUUGGGUUUUUUUUAAAUUUUUUUCACUCUUGGUCCUCAUCAUCCCCCUUUGUUUUAGGGGCUUUAAUUUACUCCAUUUAACUUGCUGCAUUUAAUUUCUGAUGAAGGUGAAACACUGACUCAGUCAAUCUACCAAAUUUAUACUUGAGUGUGAAAAUAAAGCUGACCCAACAAAAACAACUUGAAAGAGCAGAAUUCAGCUUUUUUGGCUUCUUUGCUUGCCUCACUUUUUCAAAUUGGUCAUUCAGCAUUUACAAAUGCUGUGUUUGCUCUUGCAGGAUCCUGGCUGAGGUACCUCGGCAGCACUGCCUUCCCCAUCUUCCCUCAUCCCCAUCACUUGUCACCCUCCACCUUUUCCUUCAGUUCUCCUUGUGGCAUGUCCCUCUCCAGAGGUGGCAUCAGGAGAUGAACAAGCUGAGAACAAGCCCUGGUUAGCAGAGGUUUCUUGGGGAGUUUCUUGACCAAUCCCCUUAACCAAGCCCUGGUUAGCAGAGGUUUCUUGGGGAGUUUUGUGACCAAUCCCCUUUCCUCCUACA